rnacentral:lncRNA from 1 species
CCCAUUCGUAGUAAUCCUCUGUAUGGAGGAGGCUGUUACAUAACCACAAAGGCACAAAGCUGCAGUUUUGAGAACAUCUUCCCACGCCAGUUCUAAGCAUUGACUUCAACUAUGGUUGCUAACACAAGAAUCGGCACUGGUGACUUUUGAGCCAUCAAUCAUCCUUUCCUAACACAUGAAUCUUUUGGAAAAUGGUCUCAAAUAGUCAAGACCCCCUGCUGGGAGGAGCUUCUAUCCUGCUCUGUGGAAGAAAUGGGCAUGCCAGAUGCCUGGAAGAUCAGAGGCUCACAUUCCAGUUCAAAGUUAGAGAAACCUGAGAGGGGUGUACUGGUAUGACCACCCGAGAUCCCAUCGCUGAGAAAGAUAAUGGCCCUGGAGACAAAGACUGAUGAAGAAAGACAGUAUCCAGCUGUGAUGCAGAUGAAACAUGCGGCAUGGUUGCACUCACUAUGCAGCCAAGGCUGGAAGCCACUCUGGAUCCAGCCACUCUGGCACAGCGUUCUUGCUCUAGGAAGAACAACUGAACAUGGCCACACAGGCCUCACAGCUGGCAUAUGGAGGCUGUUAAUAAGCUGAGCUUGAGGCUUCAAAGGACUCUUGUAGCCUGUGCUGGAUCUAGCAGUGACCAGUAUGCCAGUGGCCAUGGAUGCCCAGGCCCAUGUUCAGUAGUGAAGCAGGUGCUAGCAGCAGAAGCAAUAGAAAUGGAAACUGGGAGAUCUGCUGUGGAUGAAUCUCAUUAUCUUCUUUCUCUGACCCUCUUUGGACUAAAUAAACUCCCAGUAUUCUUGACCAACAGAGGUAGGGUUGGAACAGAACCUCAAAAGUCAUCAUUAGACUUCCUACUAAUAGGGCAUUGGAAGUUCAAGCGACUAACUAGGAAACAGGUUAGUAUUUGUACCCCUACACUGUGCAACAGAUUACAUACCAUUUGCUCUAUUUGGCAUCCUUUCCUUAGGCUAGAUUCCCAGAAGAAAGAUUACUGAUUCGAAGGGCAUGAACAUUUUUAUGACUCUUGGCCUAAAUUACUAGGCCAAGGUUUUUUCAAAGGGAUGCACUAAUUUUCACUAUUUCCCCACACCCUUUCAGGUGAUAAAUAAUUGACUUGAUUUGUUUACACUGACGCCAAGAAUUCUUGGGAAGAAGGAUCAAAGUGAAAAGUGGUAGCCCAUGGUGGGGAGGCCACACUCAGUGCAGUUGUGAAGUCAGCAGCAUUUUUAAGCCCAUUCAUUGCCAGUAGCCCUGAGAUGAGCAUUCCCAAGCUGCUUCCCAGGUCCCUCCUCCACUCUCUCAGGGACAUCCAUUCUGUACCAGCCCCCUCAGAUACUCAUGCCCUUGCCCUCCCUUCUCCAUGCUCAUUAAAACCAGCUUAAGAGCAGAUAUGACAUCAGUCACUUACCUUUUCGUGUGGCUCUAAAUCAAAGUGUCACCUCUCCCAAGCACAUGCUUGCAUCUUAGCUCUGAUUGAGGAAUGAAAAGCUUUGUUCUCUGUUAAAAGAACUUUGAGCUUAGAUGCCCCAGACUGAGAAAUCCACCAAAAGCUGGACCUUUGACUUGAGCGGCAAAGGACCCCCAUAGUCAGGCUGUGAUUUGAGGAGCAUCAAGAGGCCAGAGUUUCCAAGUUGGGACCCAGAAGGUGGGGUUGGCAGGGGGAGGGUAGGAGCAGCUGGAGACUCUGCUCUACCAGGGGAAUACGGAGGUGGGGACCAAUCCCAGGGUAAGGAAUGAAAGUAGGAGCCCCAGAAGCUGAAAACAUACUUCACCGAUGUCAGCAUUUUACCCAGAGCCAUUCCAAGGUGACCAUAACUCACUUAAAAGCCUGAAAGCUGUUUUAUGCCAACUAAUAAAGUGCAGUUUAAUAAAAAAGUUGUCAAUCAUUUUUAUAUAAAAUGUAUUUGGGGCAUGAAUG